UUACGCAUAAUGGACUACUCGAACGUGUUAUUCGGAUAUCAGAUGAAGGAGAUAUCAUCAGAUUUGUUUGAAGGGCAAAAUGACUCCAGACCGAGUGGUUGCCCAUAUCAAUGUUGUGGGUGCCUUAAUAAUAUUGGUCGGUCUUAUCUACACGUAUCGAGAGGAUAAACUCUCAUUUUCUCUUUACUUUCUUCUUCAUUCUUCUUUCAUCUUCUUCUCUUCUGUUCUUCUUCAUCGAUUUUCUGUGAGAGUUUGAGUAAGAUUUGAUUGAGGAAAACCAACUGGUAGUACUGAUAAAUGAUUGAGAAGAUGGUGUGGUCGUUAAUUGGGAAGCAGAACAACUAGGGUUUGAAUCAGAGAGUCGGAAUUAGGGUUUGUAGUUACGAUUGUGGUUCUGAAGAGUUAGAAGAUGAUAUUUGGAGCUAUGGAUAGAUGAAGAAUCUUGGGUAGAUGUCUAAUUGGGGUUUUGAAGUUAAACCAGUGAUGAAUCAGAAAAUUAGGAAUUAGGGUUCGUCCUGUUCUUCCCCAAAUCGUGAAAUUAGGGUUCUUGAGUCUCAAUCACAGGUAAAGAAGAUGUAUUGAAGGUUAAGAAGAAAUUUAAAGGAUGGGUUUGUUAGAUUUGAAGUUUUGGUUGAUGUUCUAAGUUUGAAUUAGAGAAAAGAUGAUUUGAGAUUGAGAACUGAUGAUGAGGAUUGAGGGGUUGUUAUUGUUAAUAUUGAGAUGAUGUUGAAUGAACCGAGUUGGUGGGUUGUUGUAGUUUCAAGAAGAAUUGAAGAAUCGAUUCAAAACAAGAAGAUGAGCUGAUCCCAAUUUUGCUGGAAUGGAACUAUUUGAGGUAAUUGUUUCUCUAAGUAAAUUAGUAUGGCUCUGAUAAGAAUUAAAUGAAUUGAAUUCAGUAAGAUGGGAUUGAUUAUGAAGAUGUGUUGUUGGCAAUGAGAUGUUGAGAAUGUUGUUUGUUUAUGUAUAUGGAUAUACAGAGAGUUGUUUUGAUUGUGAAUAUUAAGAUUGGAAAUGGGUUAUUGAGAAUUGAUGGAUUUUGCUGGAAUUAUAGUUGUUGAAGAUGGUGUUAGUAUUGAGUCUUGAAUGGGUUGGUGAUGUUUGUGUUAAGUUACAGCUGCAAGUUAUGGAGAUAUGGCUGAAGUUUAUUUGGAAUGGUAAUAAUUGGUUGGUACUGUUAUGAUGCAGGGAACUUGGGUCUGUGAUUUGAGGUCACAAUAAAUCUGAGGAGAUGAGUUAAAUAUAAAAGGUGUUGUUGCUACAGAGAACAAUAUAGGUGGUAAUGAGUUGUUACGUAGGAAUGAGGUUUGCUAUGAAGUUACAGGUAUUCAAUUUAAAGUUGUGAUGUUGUUAGAGACUAUUGAGCAUUACAGAGUUGAGAUGAAUUGGAGUGAAUAGAACUAGAGCUACAAGUAGUUAUGGAAGGUGAUGGUGAUUAGCUGAAGUAUUGAUUGUAUUGAAUGAGAGUUAGAUGAAUGUGAUGAAGUUGAGUUGGUAGUCUGUAGAAAGGGUGAAAGCUUGGAACUGCUUUUGCAGGAUGAACCAGUGGGUCGUGGAUCUCGAGGUAGGCGUGGCUUGUCAUCAAAGAGUUUCAGAGACAGAUCAAGAUGUGCAUGUGACGAUGAAAGCUUCGAAGAAUUAGUUACUUUAAUUAGUUAGCUUCCGCUAUGUUAUUUUUGUAUUCUAUUUAUAAAUCAACUCAUUAUUGAAUAUGUAUCAUUUGAGAGAAGUUCUUGUAUAUAUAUUUCAGAGUGGGGAUAGUUUUCAGAUUAAGUUUUGUAGCAUAUUUCUUAAUUGAAUGUUUAAAUAAAUGAUUUA